UGCAGAGGUCUCAAGCGUUGUUCGGAUUCAUUGGGCGUAAAGGGUGCGUAGGCGGCGCGGUAAGUCGGGUGUGAAAUCUCGGAGCUUAACUCCGAAACUGCAUUCGAUACUGCCGUGCUUGAGGACUGGAGAGGAGACUGGAAUUUACGGUGUAGAGGUGAAAUUCGUAGAUAUUCGCAAGAACACCAGUGGCGAAGGCGGCCGACUGGUCCGGUUCUGACGCUGAGGCGCGAAAGCGUGGGGAGCAAACAGG
rnacentral:rRNA from 1 species